GCGCCUGUAACCAUGGCAACUCCGCGGGCCCUCCCCUAGCGCUUGCGUCGUGCGUCCUCCCGAGUCUAGUUGUGCGAGGGCAGAACUUGCGGAGCCAAUGGGAGCCAGGGCGCAGCCAGGACGGGGGUGGGCUUAUGGUGGGCAGCCGCGGGAGGCCCGGAAGUCCUGACCUGCAGGUGGCGCCGGCCGGAGGCUGGGGCGUUGCUGCCACCAGUGGGCGGGGCAGCGGGGCAGCGGGGCGGGGGCACCCUCACCUGUCCGUGUGUGGGGAUCAGCCUGGGCUCCGUGGCCUCCGCUUGCACGGACGUGGACCCAGCUACCUGGGCAAGAUAGAGGACUGAGCCCAGGCACGCACGGCUGGCCAGAAAAGGCUGACCAGCCUCUGGUUCCCGUACCGGUCAACUGAUUGGAGUACCUUUCCAGUUUGGAAACAUCUGGGCAGGCCCAGAUUGAACAGGAUCCAGGGGGAAGUACCAAGCCUGUCCCAUCGGCCAUCCUGUGUGUCAUGUCCUGUGACCCAGUGGAUGCUCAGCAUCCUCCAGCUGAAGAAACAGAUUGCCUUAGGUACAUGAAAGGUGAGGACACCUACUAUCCCCAUGGAGCCCAGGUGGGGCUGGGAGUCUGCUGUUUGUACAGCCGGUGGGCUCGUGUUGCUUUGGGCAUCCCUGUGCCUGAAUUCCUGCAGUACACUCGGUGGUUUGUUGAUGGGCUGGGACACACUAGACUGCCAGGAGCUGGAAUUCCUCUGUGCCCUGAUUGUUAUCCUUCCUUCACACUAUUUACUCUCACAAGUUCAGUCUCUCUGUCUCUCUCUCAUUCACUUGUAACUUUCUCUCCUGCUCUGGUUUCAUUUGAUUCCCACCCUCCUCCCAAUCCCCAGAUGAGUGAAAUUAAUUUCUGUGUGUCAGUUCCAAAUUCCCGGGAAAGUCUGCUGUCCCCUCUGGAUUGGUUGUCCAACCCAUCAGUUGCAGUCAGAGGAGUGAGUCCCUCUGUGACCAGAGGAGGGGCUCUGCCCAGCCCCCCAGCCACCACUGUGGGAGCACAUAGCUCUCCGAGGAGGAGGUACUGGCUGUGACUUGGUGUCACUAAGUGUGAAUUUAUCUCUCCUCUUGCCCCACCUUCAUCCUCCUAAACAAAGAUGAAAAUUAAACACUCCCGAGAUUUGUGUCAUGGAACACUCAGGGUGGGGGCUAAAGGGCUGAUUCCCUGCUGAGUAAAGGGGCUACAGUGAUCUCCCCAACGAGAGCCUGUAAAGGAAACAGCCCAGCCCCACGGACACUUAGGGUGCUGAGUCUGCGUGACAUUGAGCCAGGCUUCUGACCACAGCUCAGGGGUCUGGUCCGACCGGUUAGUCUUUGAAACCAACCAGCUUUGGAUUCCUCAAUCCCUCCCUGAGGUUUUACCUGAACCACGAGCUUCUGUAUCUCUGAAGACAGAUGAUGAGGACCCUUCACGUAAGGCAUUUGCACAGCCCUGUGCGGGAAUUUGUGCUGCACGGUCUGCCCGGCGAGCUGACCAAAGUUCGUAUUUUACUGAUCUUAGAAAUAGUCUGGUUUCCUGAUGCACUGUUUCACUGAACAAGCAACAGAAGCCACCUCUGGCUGAUAAAAGCAAAAAGGGACUUAAUGAAAAGAUACUGGAGGGUGCAUGGAGUGGCCCAGACCAGAGCCGACCCGGGGCCUAGGAGAUGUUGGGAGCCCCAGGCACCAGG
ensembl:lncRNA